ensembl:misc_RNA Metazoa_SRP Metazoan signal recognition particle RNA
GCCAGACAUGGUGGCGCAUGUCUGUAAUCCUAGCUACUUGGGAGGCUGAGGUGGGAGGAUUGCUUGAGCCCAGGAGUUCAAGGCUGCAGUGAGCCAUGAUCAUGCAGCAUUUCACUCCAGUCUGGGCAACAGAGUGAGAUCCUGUCUCUC